rnacentral:lncRNA from 15 species
CGGGUGUUUAAUUGUGUAUGUUCUGCUGACUUAAUGUUUGUCAAGAUUGUUUGAAGCACUUUACAGGCCAUUGCACAAAGCUAAUGGUGCAGCAACUUGCAAGUUUUUCUAUUUUCUCUAAUGUCUCCUUUUGUCAUCUUCUUCUAGGAAUUAUCCACUUCAUCUGGAGGGGAAAUCGUUCUUCGAAUUACGCUGAAUCUGAACCUCAGUGGCUCUCACUGUCAUUUGCCUUUUACCCUUUAUGUUGCCUUAAUGGUUUUUAUAGUUUCCUUCCUGUGACCGAGGUUGAGGACAAAGUCACCUUAGAUUCCACUGAGCAGCCCAAACAACAGCCACACUUGUCUCUAGACAACAACAGGGGAAAAACAUCCAGUCUGGAAGAGAUUCUCUAUGGUGUUUGUGAAGGUCGCAAUUUGUGGAACCUUCGUUAUCCCGAGGAAGAGCAGCAGUGGGGAGUAGGAGCCGAAAUGUAUGGAUGGAGUGAAACGGAGGAGAAAAUGCUGCACACCACUCUUGAGUGAUAUAUCCCCUUCCAGCCAUUCCAGCACCUGAAAAGUCCAUCCCUUCCAAGACGAUUUUUGGGAAAGCACCAGUUGUCUGCAACAAGAGCGGAGGAGAGUAAGAGUGAGAGAAAGGAAAAAGGGGGAGGAAAAUUGUUCCUGCGUCACGUUUCUUUAAUUUGUCCACCAGCUGCCAAUGAAAAUGAUGACCUGCAGUAGUUUUUUUUUUUUUUUUUUUUUUUCCUCCUGGCUCUGCAUCUGCCCUAGCAAACCACACAGCUGGAGCCACACACUGAACAAGUGUAAUCUUUAUAGUAUAAUGAAUACGACAAAGAAGACUGAUAGGACACAUGGACCCAGCUCACACUGAUUUGACUCAUAAAACUGCUGGCUUCCUCCCACCCAUGAGUUUAUGUGGAUGUCCUAACCAGAGACAAGUGGAGCAUCUGAAGUGCAGAUUUGUAUCACCUGCAUAUGGAGCUGAUGUGACAACUUGAUGGAUAAGAGUGAUUAAUUAAUUAAGACAAUAUUGUGACAUUGAGGGUCCAUAUUUAAAAAAAUAAAAUGUCAAAUAUGAACAUAAAUCACAUCCAUAUUAGAUCCAACACACACCACACAAACAACAUAGAUGAUAAACACUUGUAUCAUAAUUGUUUUUUGCUUUUGAGAAUCCAGAAUAUAAGUAAUUAAUAGUCAUUUAAUAUGCUCCAUCCUCCUUGGUGUACUUUAUCAAUCAAAUUGUCCUUUCACAUCCUGCAGCUGUGCAAACCUAAAGCAGAUGUCAUGAUGAAAUUGGGGAAGAUUUGACGGGAAAGGGUUAGGAGAAACCAAACAUAUUGUCUCCAAAUCAAAUCAUGCAGUGUUUCAGGUGACAAGGAGGGGCUGUGCGUCUACCUCCGAGGCAGGCGCACUUCCUGCAUCGUCUACAGCAAUAUAUAAACCCGCAAAGACGGACUUCUCCCGAAGCACUCACAAAGUUUGCAAAGCGCUAAAAACUCCUCUACUUGCAGACCUCCCUCUCUGUAACCCAUUACUGAGGCUUUAGAGGUGAUACAGCCCUUGGCAACGCAGGCACAGCGUACCGCUGCGCAAGAAAAGGUAGGACCAAAGAUUGUGUAAAGGAAUGUCCCCCGGUGCUGUAUUGUAAAGCACCGGGGUUUGAAGCUUGGUUUACGCAUA